UACGGGGGGGGCAAGCGUUGUUCGGAAUUACUGGGCGUAAAGGGCUCGUAGGCGGCCAACUAAGUCAGACGUGAAAUCCCCAGGCUUAACCUGGGAACUGCGUCUGAUACUGGAUGGCUUGAAUCCGGGAGAGGGAUGCAGAAUUCCAGGUGUAGCGGUGAAAUGCGUAGAUAUCUGGAGGAAUACCGGUGGCGAAGGCGGCAUCCUGGACCGGCAUUGACGCUGAGGCACGAAAGCGUGGGGAGCAAACAGG
rnacentral:rRNA from 1 species